rnacentral:rRNA from 1 species
AUGGCGAAAUGCUGGCUGCUGCUCCACUUCUUGGCGUUCCUCUUGCCGCCGGCGAGCGCUACGACGUGCCACGCCGAUGACCUCCGCGCGUUGCGGGGCUUCGCCGGGAACCUCAGUGGUGGUGGCGUGCUCCUACGCGCCAUGUGGUCUGGCGCCUCGUGCUGCGGCUGGGAAGGUGUCGGCUGUGAUGGCCAAAGUGGACGCGUCAUGGCGCUGUUGCUCCCCGGGCGUGGACUUGCGGGGCCCAUCGCAGGAGCAUCUUUGGCGGGCCUCGUGCAGCUGGAGGAGCUCAACCUAUCCAAUAACAAACUGAUCGGCACCGUCCCAUCGUGGAUUGGUGAGCUUGAUCACCUUUGCUAUUUGGAUCUCUCCGAUAAUUUAUUGGUUGGCAAGGUACCCAAAAAUUUGAUAAAUCUCAAGGGCCUCGCCACCACUGGUCGUUUAAUGGGUAUGGCUUUCACUAGCAUGCCAUUGCAUGUGAUGCGUAACAGAAGAAUACUCCAACAACAACGACCAAAUAUCAUUUCUGGGACCAACAACAAAGUCCGGUCUGGUAGAACCAAUGUUCUAUCCGGGAAUGACAACACUGUCAUAUUUGGAAACAGCAACACUGUCGCUGGGAGCAACAAUACCAUCACAACUGGGAGCGACAAUACCGUAACGGGUAGCAACCAUAUCGUAUCUGGGAGCAAACAUAUCGUAACUGACAACAACGAUGUUGUUUCCGGGAUUGACAAUAAUGUAUCCGGGAGCUUCCACACCGUAUCCGGGAGUCACAAUACUGUAUCCGGGAGCAACAAUACUGUAUCUGGAAGCAACCAUGUUGUGUCUGGGAGCAACAAAGUCGUGACAGGAGGUUAA